CUUAGUGACAAAAUGGAUGCCAGAAUGCUAUGCGAAACUGGCUGAAGGAGUCUAGGAUAUUACGGACUGAGUGUUGCUUGUCACGGCACAUACACCAUGCGGACAUCAUAAUAUUGCAGGUACUGUGUAUUUCGACGUCACUUUGCUGUGCUAUUGAACCAGGCUGUCAAUUGGAUAAUUAAGACUUGGAACAAGUGGCCCCUGGAGCUGGUCCUCUGACAUGUGGCAGAACUUCCCGGACGUCAAACCACCCAUGUCAGGAUUUAAGAGAGGCUUGUUUUUUGUGGUCAUCAAGAAUCAUCUUAUCUAACUCGACAAAAAUGGCGAAAUUAUUCAAUAACAUAUCUGUGGAUUUUAUGAAUGACUAGGUAUCAGUUUUGUUUUUCGAAGUGAGGUUUAUCAAAUCCAAAAUGGAAUUCCUUGGAGCAUAAUGAAAUUUCACCAUGUCCAUGGUAAAGCCAUCGUCCUGUCUGAUGACAGAAAGCAAGCGACGAGGUCAGAGGCCCAUUUUUGUAAUGGGCUAGUGUUCGGUGACCAGGCCAUCAAGGUCGGCCAAAAGCUCUGCGUGGAACUCACCUGUGUUUCAUCAUGGAGUGGUGCUCUUCGGAUCGGAGUCACCACAAACGACCCAAACAAGUUGACCCAGGCUGACCUCCCAAAAUUUGCAUUUCCUGAUCUGCUGAAGAAGGAAGGCUACUGGGGUCGGUCUGUGAACGAGAACCUGACCGCAUCCGGCACGCGUGUGACGUUCUAUGUGACGACAGAGGGACAUCUACAAGUGUUCAUUAACAAUGAACACAAGGGGGUGUACCUGUCACGACUACCCACCAACAGGACACUCUGGUUGUUCCUCGACAUCUAUGGCAACACAAAGGCAACAAAGUUUGUCACACCAGAUGACGCUCCGAAGGAAAUUGUUGCCCGUGGCCCGGAGGCAAUGGAAGCGUAUGAAAAGGCGUGUUCAACUGGAACCCAGCCGGUGUUUCGCACACGUCUCAUGCUUGUGGGCAAGGAUAGAGUGGGCAAAACUAGUCUCAAGAAAGCCCUGACAGGUCAAAGCCAUAACACAGCCGAGGAGAGCACAGAUGGGAUCGACCUGUCUGCUUCCUGCUCCUUUAACCUCAACAACCGAUCGUCAUGGCAACUAGCAAUCAAGGGGGAACAACCACCCGAAGCAGAAAGUGAUGAUGAAAAGAAAAACUUGGGUAUUCUUGGUGGAAGUGAGGGUCUAGAGGAGGAGUACCACAAGGCACUUGCCACCAAUAUUGUCCAGGAACUGCUGUAUCAGAAACGUCAGAAAGAGGCUGUAACCAAAACAUCUAGAGACAUCAAGUCAGCAGUUACGUCCCACUCAGCAGGGAAGAUUACCAACAGGAUAACUGACAAGCGGAAACCAUUGCUGGUGCGACGGGCAACAUCCCUUGGUAUGAAUCUGUUUGACGACAUCAAGGAGGUUCCCCCAGAGGUGAUGCAGGACGUACCGGACCGUGUCGUACAGCUGGUGCAACAGAUGCUGGGUCAGGGGUCACAAGGGUCGCCGACGCACAGCCUUGAGCUUGUGCAGACUGCCGAGAAGAGUCACCAAGUUGUGCUCAAUAUCUGGGACUUCGCGGGUCAGGCCGUGUACUACACCACACACCAGGUAUUCCUGACUGCACGAGCCAUCUAUGUGAUUGUGUUCAACUUAUGUGAUGACCUUACCGGCAAACAGUUACCGGAGAUGCAGGAAAAGGAUGAAGCCGAGGACAGCCUGUCCACUCUCGACUACAUGGACUUCUGGCUGCGCUCAAUACAUGCACAUGCUGCUGAGAACAUGCGCAACAGCGUCGACAACACCAAACUAUCCCCGCCCAUCUUCAUCGUGGGCACUCACCGAGACAGUCUGGCCCUGGACCAUGAUGCUCAGAUGGAGCUGGUUGCCGAUAAGUUCAACCAGCUGCGAGAGUUCCUGACAGGCCAGCCCUACACACAGCACAUCGUGACGCCAUUCUUUGCUGUGGAAAAUAACUCCCUGGGUGGAGAGGAUGUGCAGAUUGAUAAGCUGCGUCAGCACAUCGAGCGGAUCGCCAGCCAGGAGUCGUACAUGGGGGAACAGAUGCCGAUCAAGUGGCUCAAGUUUGAGCAGGAUGUCACGGAGAGGGCAGACACAGGCACACACUACGCCACCGUCGACCAGAUCACCGAGAUGGCAAGUAACCAUGGCAUCACAGACACAGAGGAGGUGACGACACUCCUGGAGUUCUACCACGACCUUGGCGUCAUCAUCCACUAUGGCAGCGCCGGCCCUGCCCACAACGUGCUCCGCAACACGGUCAUCCUGAAGCCACAGUGGCUGGUGGAUAUGUUCAGGAGGAUCAUCACUGCUCGGUCCACUCACGAUCAGUGGGACCUCCUGAGUGACAAGUGGGACCGGCUGGAGAAGCUUGGGAUCCUGGAGGAGCCGCUCCUGGACAUGCUGUGGAGUGAUGCCCUGGACCAGAAGCCCACCCUGCUAGCUCUCAUGGACAAGUUUGAUCUCAUCUGCCGCAGACUGCCACCACGAGGACAGACUCACCGGGAGGAGACACACAGUUACUACGUCCCCAUGCGGCUGGAGAAGCUGGAUGAUCAGCGCCACCUGUACACUCUCUCUGACAAUGUGGCUGUGUUCUACCUCGACUUCAACAACUUCCUCCCAGACGGCCUGUUCUAUCGGAUCCUGACCCGAGCCAUCAGGUGGUCCCAGGACAGUGGAGGCCGAGACCCCUAUCUCUACAGUCGAAUAGCCAAAUUCUUUCUGGACGACUCUCAUGACUUUGUGUUGGAACUGUCACCUAGAGCGUACCACAGAUUAAAGGUUGUCGUCGUGGGCAUCUCCGACUCCAUCUACACCAACCCUGGCUACAACCCCCUCUCCGCAGCCUGUGCCAAGGUGCGGAACUUCCUUGAGUCUACACUGACUGACCUGCGGCAGCUGUGGAUGAAGAGGAUUGCCUGCAAGAUGUGUCUGCGAUGUACGUGUGACAAGGUGUGUGAGCGGCACGGCCUGGCCGGGUGUACCCAGGAGGCCUGCCUCCACUUCCUGGACCUGGACGAAUGUCUCACCUCCAAGAUUGUUUGCUGUGAACAUAGACGGGUGAAAACUGCUGAUGUAAGGAAAUGGUUUCCUCAACCCAAAAUAGGUAAAGAUAUGCCCGAUCCGAUACUGCCUCGAUUGACGUUGGAGAUCACAGGGGGCAACAUAGAGAAGAACGUCCCCAACCUGCCCUCGUGGAUGAAGGGGGCGGCCAAGCUGCUCAACAGUGGGGCCGACGACCAGGACUGGGCAGCACUGGCUAAACUCAUGGGUUACAAACAGGCUCGGAUUGACCAGAUCAACGAGGAUCUAAACCCAGCCCUGGCCCUGCUGACCGACUGGGUGCUGACCAGCGGGAACACCUCCCUCUCGGUCGACCUCAUGAUGGUGUUCCUGGAACAGAUCAAGCGAGACGACAUUGUGGACGUCAUCCAGAAGGCCAAGGAGAGUGAGUCGGACCUGCCGCAGAUCUUCCUGAGCUACCAGUGGGACUCCCAGGACGACGUCCAGAGUCUCCGGGCACGCCUGGAGAGGGCGGGGUUCACCUGCUGGAUGGACAUUGGUCAGAUGGGCGGCGGGGAUCAGCUCAACCUCAAGAUCGAUGAGGGCAUUCGGAACUGUGUGCUGUUCGUCUCCUGCAUCACGCCCAAGUACGUGGUGUCUCACCACUGUAACCGCGAACUGGCCUUGGCAGACAUCUUGAAGAAACCCAUCAUCCCUGUCAUGUUCGAGUCCGUCGUCUGGCCGCCACCUGGGGGCAUGUCUGUCAUCCUCUCUCAGCUCGUCUAUAUCAACAUGAAAGGUGUCGGAGGUCACGGUGGCAGCGGGGUCCAUGCUGACCUCCAGGACAAGCAUAAUGAAAUCAUCAACCGGAUCCUCCUGUACACCAUGCCUGCCGUCCAGCCUUGCAUCGACUCCGCCGUCACGGUUACCGACAUCAGCAAGCAGCAGGACCUGGGCAGCGAGAGCCUGUACGACACCAGUCUCAGUUCCCUCACAGAACCAGACAUCCCCCUGCUCCAAGAGGUGUACCACGCACCCCCCAGCCCCCAUCGCAACCCCGUCGUCGCGCCGCAGCCAGAACCUGCUCAGCGAGCAGCAGCAGCAGCAGCAGCAGCAGCAACAAGGAACGUGGAGCAGGUUCAUGUGACGAAGUGUGCAGUAUGUGUAAUACUGUAGCCCUGAAGGACUUUACUAUACAGGGCUCCAAGUGUGCAGUAUGUGGCAUAUUGUGUAGCCAAGAGGAACUGUCACAGCUUCGAAGGACUUCACUGUACAGGGCUCUAAGUGUGCAGUAUGUGUCAUGUUGUGUAGCCCAGAGAAACAGUCACAGCUUCGAAGGACUUCACUAUACAGGGCUCUAAGUGUGCAGUAUGUGGCAUAUUGUGUAGUCCAGAGGAAAUGUCACAGCUUCAAAGGACUUCACUAUACAGGGCUCUAAGUGUGCAGUAUGUGGCAUAUUGUGUAGCCCAGAGGAACAGCUGAUGAUGAAAUCACUGUAGGUGUCCAGUGAUCGAUCAUUAUCAGUGAUUGGCUAGUGGAUCAAUAACUCCUAAUCAUAUAGACUGGACACAAUGCAUUCAGUGUACCAUUAAGGUCAUCAUUGCUACUGGAACAUGGGUACUCCUGUGCACAUUGGUACCAUCCAGGGCAUCAUUGCUACUGGAACAUGGAUACUCCUGUGGACAUUGGUACCAUCAAGGGCAUUGCUACUGGAACAUGGAUACUCCUGUGGACAUUGGUACCAUCAAGGUCAUCAUUGCUACUGGAACAUGGAUACUCCUGUGGACAUUGGUACCAUCAAGGUCAUUGCUACUGGAACAUGGAUACUCCUGUGGACAUUGGUACCAUCAAGGUCAUCAUUGCUACUGGAACAUGGGUACUCCUGUGCACAUUGGUACCAUCAAGGUCAUUGCUACUGGAACAUGGAUACUCCUGUGGACAUUGGCACCAUCAAGGUCAUUGCUACUGGAACAUGGAUACUCCUGUGGACAUUGGUACCAUCAAGGUCAUCAUUGCUACUGGAAUGUGAAUACUCCUGUGGACAUUGGUACCAUCCAGGUCAUUGCUACUGGAACAUGGGUACUCCUGUGGACAUUGGUACCAUCAAGGUCAUUGCUAUUGGAACAUGGGUACUCCUGUGGACAUUGGUACCAUCAAGGUCAUUGCUUCUGGAACAUGGGUACUCCUGUGGACAUUGGUACCAUCAAGGGCAUUGCUACUGGAACAUGGAUACUCCUGUGGACAUUGGUACCAUCAAGGUCAUCAUUGCUACUGGAACAUGGAUACUCCUGUGGACAUUGGUACCAUCAAGGUCAUUGCUACUGGAACAUGGAUACUCCUGUGGACAUUAGUACCAUCAAGGUCAUCAUUGCUACUGGAACAUGGGUACUCCUGUGGACAUUGGUAAUAUCAAGGUCAUUGCUACUAGAACAUGGGUACUCCUGUGGACAUUGGUACCAUCAAGGUCAUUGCUACUGGAACAUGGAUACUCCUGUGGACAUUGGUACCAUCAAGGUCAUUGCUACUGGAUCAUGGGUACUCCUGUGGACAUUGGUACCAUCAAGGUCAUCAUUGCUACUGGAACAUGGAUACUCCUGUGGACAUUGGUACCAUAAAGAUCUUCAGGGCUACUGGAAUGUGAAUACUUCUGUAGACAUUGUUCCACCAUGAUGUUUGACUUGUACUUGUACUUGUCUAUAAACAAGAAAAAAGACUAAACAAGUUAGGGACUACAUCACAAGUUGUAGCUUUGAGGCGUAUAGAUCUGCGUACAAGUGCGUCCGAGGACUUUACAAGACGUUGCUGAUCCCAUGGUACAAGCAUUAUCUCAACCAACCAAUAGAAAAAAAUUAGCAUUACAAUGCUAAUAAGACAUUUAUUUAAGGUCACUCUGUGAUAGGUAUGAGAGAUGUGUUAACUUGUGAAAGUACAAUGAUUCUGUAUGCAAGAUGUAUAUAAGAAGAAUUAUGAAGUGGGGAUUGAUUGCUGCCACCAGGAUCACACAUGGCAAUGAGUGGAUCAGUUGGCUAUGGGAAAGAUAACUGUUCCUUGUGUUGGCUAUGGUAAAAGAUUUAAUUUAGAACAAAAUGAUUUUACAUUUACAAUUCUGGUAAUUCUUGUGGGAUGUGAAAGACACGAGAAAUGUGUUACUGUGAAACAGUACAGUACUAUUAACAGAUGGUUGAUUGCUAGACAACCCAGGGCAAUAAGAUGCUACCCGGUAAUUAAGUGGCGUCUCCUUGCUUGGUGCUAACUAGUAUCCCUGUGCCCUUGCAAUGUCAAAGCCACUGGCAUUCUCUCUGCAAAGUUAGGCAAGCCAUUUUCGAAUGAUUUUGGGUUCACAAUGAUUUUGUCGGCACCAGUGUCAAACUGAACUGGGAAGAAUGUGAAUAAUCUGGAGAGGAUACGUUCUGGUCUUAGAUGCGAGUCAGAUGAUGGUUCUUGUUACUGAUCUGUUGUUAAUUCCCUGCAACUGUUACCAUGAUUACACACAGCACUGUUAGAGGAAGUAGUUAUACUGAAGUGUAUGAUUGACCUAUCAGUAUCACCAGUCUGUCAGCGAGUGAGUUGGGUUUCACAUCGCUUUUAUUCCAGCAGAAAUGGAUUGAACACAUGUCCAGAUUCACAGGGUCUGGACUGGCUUUCACUGUAGACUGAAGACCACAAAGCUUCUUAUCUCUUUGACUGUCAUAAGUACAUGUAUUUUGAAAUAUGGGAGGAGUUGCACAGGAAUCUACUUAGACAUUCUCAGAGGUGAUAGCUUUGCAUGUGUGACUUGAUUGUUUUUCCUUGCAAAGGUCACUUAAAUCAAGGGCCCAAUGAAGGUGGCUGGACAUUGCAUUAUUAGGUGGUUUGAAAGGUGCCACAAUGCUGUCAGAUUUUACAUGAUUUGUGAAUUGUGGGUAUGUUUUUUACACUUGCAGACAGGGCCUAAUGCAAGUGUAUACAGUAAACUAUGUUUAUGAUGAAUGCGCUUAUAUGAAAUGACAAAUAUGACGAACUUAUUUUUUAGUCCCGGCCAUUUGUUGUAUAUAUGCUGUACAUGUUUUUAUUACGAACUAAAAUUAGUGGUCCCUUUGAGUUCAUUAUAACCAUAGUUUACUGUUUAUUUGUUAACAUAUCUAUAUUAAUCCGUCCGUUGGAAUACCAAUCACAAGUUUCAACACAUCUUCAGCUUACUGUGUGUGUGACACUUUUGUCCAAAAUUGCUUCUUAGGAAACAAAUUCCUUAUUGAAUAUUGUUUUGUUUCCUAUCAUACCUUCAAUGCAGAAUGUGCUAUUCAACUGACCUAGUUGACUUCUUGUAUUCAUCUAGUAUUCUUGUAUUGAUCAUGAUGUUAGUGCUUAGCGUCUCACAGAGAUAAAAUGCAGGCCGCCAUGUGCACAAGGCUUAGAAUGGCGUGCUUGUAUGACAUGCAGUUUGGUCCAGUGGUUGCUGGUUAGGGGCGCUUGAUAUGGUAGUACUUAAAGUAUGAAUUUAAAACUGGGGGGAAUAUUAUGGUCGUCUUCAAACAUGUCACAAGGAGCAAACAAUUCUAAUGCCAAGUGAGUUUCAGUGUUUGGAUUGUUGCAAGAUGUUGCACUACCUGUAGAAAUGUACACGUGAGUAUUAUCUACCCCACUCUCAGUACCGAGUAGUUUGUUGUCGAACUGAGCAAUCGGUGCCAAGUGAUAUCGGGAGCAACGUUCCAUAUCACUUGGAAACAACGACACACAUAAACACAAGUCCUGGAUGAUGACCACCGGAUCCAUGACGUCCUCUCAUGACAAGCACAGGUUUACUGCAGGAGUAGGGAGGACGGAGAGUGAACUUCUGUCUUGUAGUUGCGCCAGUCUCCAGCUUGACAAGCCAGGCACUCCCAGAUCAGUCCUGGUACACACAAACCAAGUACCUGUAACAGCAACUUUACACCAUUUCUUAUUUGCGUUUGUCCAGUAAGUAAGUGAUUUCUUUCUGUAUCAUAUUUGAAGCUGUCAUCAAAAUCAUCACAGAUGGUGUCACAAUUGAACAGAUGUGUCAUCUAACUUUCAUAGGAUCUUAGAACAUGGCCAGAGACUAAUCAGAAAGCUAGAUUAUUUAAUGAUGCACAUCUGUAAAUGGGUAUUCUGCCAAGCUGUAUUACUUGUAAGGUCUUUGUUUCUUAUUCUCAUAUGUACAUUCUCCUAUCAUGUAAUUUUAUUGUGUACAUAAUUUGUAUAAUUACAUCUGACAUGUACAUAUGUAGACAUGUAUCAAUAAAAUAUACAUUUCCAUUCU
rnacentral:misc_RNA from 1 species